GAUGAACGCUGGCGGCGUGCCUAAUGCAUGCAAGUAGAACGCUGAAGGAGGAGCUUGCUCUUCUGGAUGAGUUGCGAACGGGUGAGUAACGCGUAGGUAACCUGCCUGGUAGCGGGGGAUAACUAUUGGAAACGAUAGCUAAUACCGCAUGACAACAGUUAUUGCAUGAUAACUGUUUAAAAGGGGCAACUGCUCCACUACCAGAUGGACCUGCGUUGUAUUAGCUAGUUGGUGAGGUAACGGCUCACCAAGGCGACGAUACAUAGCCGACCUGAGAGGGUGAUCGGCCACACUGGGACUGAGACACGGCCCAGACUCCUACGGGAGGCAGCAGUAGGGAAUCUUCGGCAAUGGACGGAAGUCUGACCGAGCAACGCCGCGUGAGUGAAGAAGGUUUUCGGAUCGUAAAGCUCUGUUGUAAGAGAAGAACGAGUGUGAGAGUGGAAAGUUCACACUGUGACGGUAUCUUACCAGAAAGGGACGGCUAACUACGUG
rnacentral:rRNA from 1 species